ACUCCUACGGGAGGCAGCAGUGGGGAAUAUUGCACAAUGGGGAACCCGUAGAUGCAGCCAUGCCGCGUGUGUGAAGAAGGCCUUCGGGUUGUAAAGCACUUUCAGUAGGGAGGAAGGUAGUGUAGUUAACACCUGCAUUAUUUGACGUUACCUACAGAAGAAGCACCGGCUAACUCCGUGCCAGCAGCCGCGGUAAUACGGAGGGUGCGAGCGUUAAUCGGAAUUACUGGGCGUAAAGCGCAUGCAGGCGGCCUGUUAAGUCAGAUGUG
rnacentral:rRNA from 1 species